rnacentral:tRNA from 1 species
UAACUAACGGGGACAUGGCGUAGUUGGGAACGCGUUCGACUGAAGCUGUAACUUCAUCUGCCCAUUGGGUUUUCGAAAGAUCGCCGGUUCGAUCCCGGCUGGCCCCAU